AUUGAACGCUGGCGGCAUGCUUUACACAUGCAAGUCGAACGGUAACAGGCCUUCGGGUGCUGACGAGUGGCGAACGGGUGAGUAAUGCAUCGGAACGUACCCAGAGGUGGGGGAUAACGCAGCGAAAGCUGUGCUAAUACCGCAUGUGAUCUGAGGAUGAAAGCGGGGGACCGCGCAGCAAUGUUUGGCCUCGCGCCUUUGGAGCGGCCGAUGUCGGAUUAGCUAGUUGGUGGGGUAAAGGCCUACCAAGGCGACGAUCCGUAGCUGGUCUGAGAGGACGACCGGCCACACUGGGACUGAGACACGGCCCAGACUCCUACGGGAGGCAGCAGUGGGGAAUUUUGGACAAUGGGCGCAAGCCUGAUCCAGCAAUGCCGCGUGCGGGAAGAAGGCCUUCGGGUUGUAAACCGCUUUUGGCAGGAACGAAACGGUGUCCGCUAAUACCGGGCGCUAAUGACGGUACCUGCAGAAUAAGCACCGGCUAACUACGUG
rnacentral:rRNA from 1 species